UUUAAGCGCAACAAUAAGUUUCCCUGUCCAAUUUUGAUUUUCCGUUUUAUUUUAAUUUUUUAUGGUUAAUAUUUUUAUUGUUAUUAGAUAAUAAAACAUGAAUAGUACCAUUUAUAUUUUUAAAAAAUAAAACAGAUGGUCAAAUCGGUGCAAAACCACGGAU
rnacentral:pre_miRNA from 1 species